AUGUCUUUGAUAAUUAGGUAUGUUGAUGCAUCUUCUGGUUCUUUUUGCAUUGAGGAAUCAUUCUUAGGUUUUUUGGAUGUGAAUGAUACCACCGGGCAAGGAUUGUUUGAUGUUCUAAAAAAUGAAUUGAAAAGUCUUGACCUUGAUAUUGAUAAUCUGAGAGGGCAGGGAUAUGAUAAUGGGUCAAAUAUGAAAGGAAGACAUCAAGGGGUAAAAAGUAAAGUUUUGGAAAUAAACCGGAGAGCUUUUUAUUCGGCUUGUGGUUGCCAUAGUCUAAAUUUGACAUUAUGUGAUAUGGCAAAGUCUUGUCGUAAAGCAUCUGAUUUUUUUGGCAUUAUUCAACGCAUCUAC
rnacentral:rRNA from 1 species